GUUCCUCAAAAGAUCCAAGAACUUCACCUUGACACCGUUUAGAUGAAGCCGAUAUCGAAAGAAAAGCCGGCGAGCGAAUGCGCUUGGAAGGAAUCGACGGGAGAGAAAGCAUUUGAAGAAGACGAUCCAACAUCGCCGUUUCAAUCGCCGGUGACCUCUUUGUGAAUAGGUAAACGUCGUUUUUAUUCCGGUUUGGAUCCUUCUUACCAUUCGUAUUUUUGGACUCCCACUUCAUCAUUGUUUAUGUAUUUUGGGUUUACUUUGGGUUUUCCCUCACGUAUGAUUGCUUUUGUUCUCUCCAUGACCAUCCGCUUUUGCUUGAGGAAAGAAUACGCUUUCUGUGGUUAUUUGUUUGUUUCCCUUUAAAAAAAAUAUAUAUUCCUUUUAAUUGAUGUUUAAUACAGUAAAAGGCCAUUUGUUGGAAGUUGGAUACGUGCCAUUAAAAGCAGUUAUGGCUUUUCAUUUUCGCAGCCUUUCCAUAAAUGCUGCCAGCUUAUGCUAGCAUUAGCAUCGUCUGUUCUUCUGCCCAACAACCACGCGGCUAAGGUUUUGCUUACUAUUCCCAGUGCCUCCUCGUUUGGGCCAGGCUGGAGCGAGUCUCAUGUGACCCGAACCCAAACAGUCCAAGAGACUAUUGGGUGUUCAUUCGACCCAAGCCCAUAGUGUAGGUUCGUGGGCCUUAGUUUCUCAUAACUCCUACGGCCCAUUGUGUAGUUUUAGUUAGUUUUAUUUAUUUAUUUUAUUUUUAUUUCUUUCUUUGUUUAUAUAUUUUGUCGCCGAUAACCUAAUAGUUUGCCGUCUGUGGCCGGGUGGAGGGGACGUUGUGCCAACUCCCCUUGAAUGGUGGGUUCAAUACCCGUGUGUUGCAUAUUUGGUUUUGUAAUAUUUUAAUUUCCUUUUGCGUAUUUCUUUUUAAUACUCAUUGUUUUUAAUAUUUACCCCUUUUAUUUAUUUUAAUUGACAAAGCAUCGAUUUUAAUUUAUGGAUUCAACUACUCUCAUGUUUGUUUAUCCAGGAUUAUUUUAUCGAGAUAACAAUGGAAUUUCUCCGUGUUUCGGUUGGUUGCACAUGAUCAUUAGAUGUUGACAUGAUGCAUAAACCGGUUUUGAGCACAGUGCUUAGUUGUAAUUUCCCCAUCUCCACACCCUUGUAAUUCGAUUGCCUUUAAGCAUCGCCGUCCACCUCACAUAGCUUACUCUUAGGCUUUCUUACAAUGAGAUGAUUCUCUUACACCUACACUCAUACAUUGCAUUGCUUGUUGUUUGGGCCCGAUUUAAUUAUUUCAUUACUUUGAAUCCCCAUUUGACAAAAUGUACCCCCACUCCCAUGAUGUGUAAUAAUUCUUUACUAUUUUAUUUCUUUACUUGCUUGACUGUUUAGCUAGCUACUAACACAAGAAUAAAAAUCAAUCAUUUCCAAAAGAUCAAAAAUAAAAACUCGAUCCAAAGUCGGGUAUUUUUCUCAAAUACAUCCAUUCCUAUUCAUCCAUUUCUACCCAUUCCCUUUCUUUCAAACCACUUCAUUCAAAUCUUUCCCAAUCACUCACCAAAUGCUUGAUCCAACGUCAAGCCAUUUUCACAAUAAAAACUCAAAAAAAAACUUAAUUCAUAUUUAAGACCUUUUCA
rnacentral:lncRNA from 1 species